rnacentral:tRNA from 1 species
CUAAUACGACUUAUUAAGGUGGCAGAGCCCGGUAAUUGCAUAAAGCCUAAAACUUUUACCCCGAGGAUUCAAAUCCCUCCCUUAAUU